UACGGGGGGAGCAAGCGUUGUUCGGAUUUACUGGGCGUAAAGGGCGCGUAGGCGGCGCGGUAAGUCACUUGUGAAAUCUCUGAGCUUAACUCAGAACGGCCAAGUGAUACUGCAGUGCUAGAGUGCAGAAGGGGCAAUCGGAAUUCUUGGUGUAGCGGUGAAAUGCGCAGAUAUCAGGAGGAACACCGAUGGCGAAGGCAGGUCUCUGGGCCAUAACUGACGCUGAGAAGCGAAAGCAUGGGGAGCGAACAGG
rnacentral:rRNA from 1 species